CACACACCACCAAACCAUCCACACAAGCAACACCCACAGAUUCUUUAUCUCCUUCAACCCACCACCUUCUCUCACCUCACCUAACCACAUUCAGCAAUAACACCACCAACCCUAGCCACACAGUCCACCGACUCUGGCCACAGACUGCAUUUAGCCACCACACACCACCAAACCAUCCACACAAGCACCACCCACAUUUGUCUACCUUGCUAUAGUCCUCCACGCCUAAGUUUAAUCAAGAGCCCUAAAGAGAAAAAUAUCAAAUUAAGAGAAGGAGAUGAAGAUUCGGUGUGCACAAUGCUAUGCCCAUUUUUCUAUUUCAAAUCUCAUACAUGAAUACUCAUCUUUAGCACCAAGAAUCAUUGUUGAGUUCCAUUUUUUUGUUAUCUUUUGCUCAGAUCUCUAGCGAUGCUGCUGGCUGUGGAAUGGGAAUGGGAGUCGAAUUUUCACAACGGUGUAAUUAAGCUCUGGGAUUGUCGAUGGGGCACUGCAAUUGAGCUUUGACGUCAUUGGUCGUGCCGAAGGUCCGUCAACUACGUUUGAAAAUGAGGAUUUUGGGUUUGAGUUCGGAGUGAAG
rnacentral:lncRNA from 1 species